GGAAUUUUCAUAUUUUAAGAAGAGGUAUUGAGCCAAAACGGAGAGUGUGAAAUCAAAUUCUCAAAAGAUGUGAUGAGUUUUCUUUGAGAGAAAAACACAUUCUCAAAGCAAAUUCUCUGAUGGAACAUUUAUUCUUAACACUUUUUUUUCUAUCAAAACUAGGAAAUUAUUCUUCCUCACGUUGUUCUUAACCAAGUUCUUCAUUACUUCACUCACAAUUCACUUCUUUAUUCUUCCUUCUCACCACUGAAAAGUUUCUUCAAAAAAUAUAUAAAUAAGUAAAAUUAAAAAGGAAAAAAUUCCACAUUCAACUAAGACGAAUUUAAACCAAAUGUUAAACAUUAUGGUUGAAGUCUUUAAUUGCAUGUGGCCAUUCGACAAGAUCAAAGGAAAAUAUAGAAUAUAUGCCUAUUUACAAAUCAUUUUGAGUUAGACAUAAACUGAAUCAUACAAUUAAUUAAAACCAGUUCGGUCUUUCAGGUCUUUGAAAGAGUGUAAGACAAACUAAUGCGCAUGAUUCAAAAUUUGUCACGCUUAAACCAUACUUUAGUCACCGUUAAAAUGUGGUUAAAUAGGAUCCCUGAUUGUCUUUUCAUGAUUGAACAGUGAGUAACCUAUUCAGAUCCUCAAAAAACUUAAGAUCGAUUAUUCUUUACCACUUUCAUAAAUAAAAAUUAAGCUAUGAUGAUUCUCAAAUCAACAGGGUUUAAUGAACUUUAAUUAUGUCAGAAAGAUAAACCAUAUAUUGCUAAAGAACAUAUGAACCUAAAGACAUGUCAAGAUCAAAAUCAGAAUCUAUAUAUUUUUAUACCUCAUGUGGACAUAAAUACCCUCACUAUGAAGAAGCAUCUUCAAAAUCAAAUUAUAUUCCAUCUUAAAAAGCAUCAUCAUGCAACAAACCUUAUCAUGUUACUAAAUGUCCCAAAUCAUUUCAACACAUAAACAACAUCAUCAUCAUCAUUAUCAUUAUCAUUAUCAUUAUCAUCAUCAUGAUUUCCUUAAUUGAUGUUUAUCAUGUAGUGACAGCAACUGUCCCAUUAUAUGUAACUAUGUUACUAGCUUACAUUUGUGUUAAAUGGUGGAAACUUUUCACUCCAGAUCAAUGUGCAGGAAUAAACAAAUUUGUAGCAAAUUUUUCAGUUCCAUUGUUAUCAUUUCAAGUUAUAUCUUCUAAUAAUAUUUACAAAAUGAGUCUUAAACUCAUAUAUGCAGAUUUUGUUCAAAAAUUUCUUGCAUUCUUAGUUUUAAUUGCAAUCAUUAAGAUUGGUGAUAUUAGAGGUGGUUUGAAAUGGAUUAUAACUGGACUUUCAUUAUCAACACUUCCUAAUACUUUGAUCCUUGGAAUUCCACUCAUGAAGGCUAUGUAUAAAGAUGAAUCUGAUUUUCUUUUACCUCAGAUUAUUUUCUUGCAAAGUAUGAUUUGGUAUAAUCUGCUUUUGUUUCUUCAUGAGCUUGAUGCUGCAAUUCCUGCAAAGACUAUGCCUGCUGCACAACCAUCACAAGACACAGGUGAGAAUUUAGAACAUGUUUGGAUGAACAGAUUAAAUAAGUGCUUAUAAAAUAAGCACUUAUCAUGUAAGUGCUUAUGUAUAUGCUAUUUUAACAGUAAGAUAUAAAAUAAAGUCAAAUUGUUUAUAUAUAGAACAUAACUGUUUUCAUAAGUUGUACUAAAAAAAACUUAUGAAAAUAAGGUGAAAACAGCUUAUGAUCAUUUCAUUCUGAGUAGAAAAGAUCGAAUAAGUCAAUCUAGAAAGACUAUACAAAUUUCCAUUUUUCUCUUCUUGUUUCUUCUUUUCAUUCUCACUUGUACUUAGCAUACCUUAAAUCCAAAACUGAUUUUGGUUUAUAUAAGAUUUGAUACACUUUUUCUCCAUGUAUUUAAUUAUAUAAGCAUAUUUAGCUUCUAUAAAUUAUUAUUGUUUAGUCAACUGAAGUAAUCUGUGACAAUGAAAGUGGGGCCAGAAUAUAUAUUUAAAAUUUCUGUUUUUUUUGUUCUAUCUUUUCUUUAAUUCUUCUUACUUAGGUUCUAUUUGAAUAAUUAUUCCUCUAAAACGAUAUUAAAAGUUGUCAAACUAUCCUAUUUUCUCUGGAUCAAAAAAGUUAAAGUGAUGUGUGAUUUGAAACGUGUCGGUGUCAAGCACUAACAUGAAACUGACACAUGUAGUUACAUUUAAUGGCUUUCAUUUUCUUAAAUUGUUACGAGUGUCUAAGUGUCAUUAUCAGUAACGUGUCCGGUGUCUGGUUUCGUGUCUGGUUUCAUAUGUAAUGUAAAUAGUCCUAUGAAAAACAAUGUUAUGGCUUUAUGUAAGUUACAACAAUGGAAGUUAUGUCACUUAUAUUUUCUUGUUUAUGCUUUAAGGAGAAAGUGAGAGUUCUAUUGAAGUACAAUCAAAAGAAGAGGAAGAAGUAGAAACAAAACCAGAAAAGAAAAUGAGAGUCAUGCUUAUUCUUAUGAAAGUUGGGAAGAAAUUGAUCAUGAAUCCUAAUACCUAUGCAACUUUCAUAGGCCUGAUUUGGGCAAGCAUACAUUUCAGGUAAGCACAAUGUCACAUUUCUUUAGCUCACUCAACUCCUUGUUGGAGAUUAUCAUAUUCAUGGUUCGAAAUUGUAGUUGCGCUUACGCGGUAAAUCUUUAUAAAUCUUUUUUUCAGGUGGGGAGUAGAUAUGCCAGAUGUUGUGAAUCAAUCAAUAACAAUUUUAUCGAGCGGGGGUCUAGGUAUGGCCACGUUCAGCUUAGGUAAGAGAAUGAAUUAAUCAGUUGAUUUAAUUAGUAUUCAUUGUCUGCGCAAUUAAGAGUUUUUACAGGGUUAUUCUAUUACAAUCGUCGAAUUGAUUGAUAGUAUUAAAAGUUUUACGCUUAAUUUGAACAGGUUUAUUUAUGGCAUCAAAUUCGAGCAUCAUAGCAUGUGGUCCAAGGAUGACAAUGGUAGCAUUGGGACUUAAAUUUCUUGUUGGUCCGGCUCUAAUGGCUGCUGCCUCCAUUGUGAUUGGAUUAAGAGAUACAAUGCUCAAAGUUGCAAUUGUUCAAGUAAUCUUUUCUUUCUUUUCUGUAAUUACUUGCUAGAUAAUAGAAGGUUAUAUUUCUUUAUAUAUGAUAUGGUUUCUAUAUGCAUAGGCAGCUCUGCCCCAAGGAAUUGUUCCUUUUGUUUUUGCAAGAGAGUAUAAUGUUCAUCCAGCAGUUUUAAGCACAGGGUAAGUAAUGCUUUAAGAUUAUAUAUGUUGGUGUUGAGUAUAGUUCAUAUUCACUUGUAUGUUGGCGGUUGUAGACACAAUUCGCUGAAUUAUGCGAGCAACUGUUUAUAUUUUUGUGUGCAAUUAUUGUGUUUUCUUUAGAAUUUAAUUUGUUGUUCUAACAGAUGUUCUUGUUUUGGUUACAGGGUCUUACUAGGAAUGCUAAUUGCUUUACCAGUGGCACUGAUUUACUAUCUUCUCUUAUCACUUUGAAACACUGUGUUGAAUAUAUACAAGGAACAAUUUUGAUUCCUAAUCUGAAAAUUUAUAAGAAACAAAUUUUACAAGUACAGUACAUAGAUUUUGUAACUGUGAUUCAACAGAGAAAUAAAAACACUCGUGAGUACAUUACUAUACAUGUUACAAACAAAUUAGUUAGAAACCAUAUAUAAUACAGCUUGAAUCAUUUAAAACGAAAAACAAUAUAAUAACUACAAGUUAGUUUGUUGUAUUUGCAACACUUGAGACAAAUCAUUCAGGUUCUAGGAUCAUGUCUAGUACUUAAACUACUCUAGAACAUGGAAAUUCAAUUAUUUGAAGGUAACAGAAAUAGUACAAGUCAUUGUAAGGGUGAUUGUUGGAAAAUACAUAACAAGCAUUAAUCACAAAUUGGCCAUUUGAUGACUCUAAUCCAUUAGAAUAGAUUUUGUAGGGAGACCGGUACUUCAACCAUUAUACUAUUGAACCCACAAAUUGUCUCUCUCGCAUCUCAAGUUAUAUGACCGGUAAUGCACUCGCUUGGUCUCAAUGGAUGUGCGACAGCAAUUUACUUUCUACUUGGGAUGAACUUACUCGCUCCCUGGAGGUUUGUUUUGGCCCGUCAACCUACGAAAACCACCAACAAGCACUCUUCAAAUUGCCACAAACAAAAACGGUUCAGGAUUACCAACUGGAGCUUAAGCGUUUAUGCAAGCACGUCACAAGCUUGCUUCACCUCGCUAUUCUGGACUGUCUCAUUUCCGGACUCUGUCAUGAGAUCCAGAAUGAACUUUAUUGUUCUGCAUUCUAAUUCCAUUUCACAUGCAAUUGGUUUAGCUAAAUUGGUUGAAACAAAAUUACAAGCUGCUUGUCGAAACAUAGCCUAUGCCCCUCGGCCCACUCACCCUAGAGUCUCUACACCCAUACUAGCCACCCUACUACAGCAACGGCCAGCCUUAACCGACCCUUUCCCCCCUCACUUAGCCUUACCAGCCCCACCUUCCAACAACCUGCAAUUCCCCACCAUUCCCUCUAUUAUCUAAAUUUGAAAUGCAGACAGAGAGCCAAAGGCUUGUAUUUCAAUUGUAAUGAAAGACACCAUGCCAGUCACCAUUGCAAAAAUAGACACUUUUUAUAAUUACUCUCUCUCCUGAUGACCUGCGUGAUCAAACCCAUGAAUCACCUACAUGUGACCUUCACCUCAUUUCCGAGACACCAAACCCAACACCGCUUCCUAUACCCUCUCACAAACUCAUAAACAAUCACAGCAGAACCAAUCCAAGAACAAUUCCAUUUUUUCCUCCAAGCUGUGUCAGAUCAACCUUCACCAUAAACUGUCGUGUUCUUCUACGCCCUCAUUUUAGGGACUUCCAGUUUCUGGUUUUGUUGACACAAGGAUCUCACACAACAUUACCCAACCCCGAAUUGCAACUUCUUUUACAAUUACCUACCCAAGAUUUACCCUCUUUCUGGUAUUUAUACCUACUACGGAUGCAAGGGGCUGUUAUCAUUCAUGGCAUCCAAUGGUCACAAACCCUAGUCCAUUCAUUUCAAACUACACCAUUCCAUCUAUGCAGUUUUACCACACUGAAUCCUUACUAGUAUGAGUUCACCCUCCCUAUCCCUAACAACUUUCCCCCAAUUAAACAGAAUAUUCCACACCGAUUCCAUAGCUACCUUUCACACCAUAAUCAUGUUACCCUAUAAAACACCACCGAUCCUAACACGUCGACACUGGUAAUAAUUUUAAAAAAUGAGUAAUUUAAACUUAUAAUCAUAAGCGAUGGUUUCGAACCCUAAUACUCACCCAACAGAACCUCACAAUUCUCACUCUCUCACUCCAAUCAAUACACUUUUCACAUUUAUACAAAUCACAAGAGCCUCAAGAAUUUAAUUACUCAAACAAUUCAGAUUCCAUAACAACAGAAAUGGCCAAUAAACAAAACGAAUUGGAUCCAUUACUAACCUGGAAACCAGAAUUUAGUGGCUGAUGUGUUGUCUAGUUUGAAUCUCAUGUUUCUUCAACUGGACCAUGCGCCAUGAUCACCUCCUCUUCUUUUCACAUUGUUUAGCAAACUUCAACAGUUCUAUGCUACUUGUGCUUCAGGAAAGUAACUGCUCUUCAAGCUUUGUGACAUGGCAGCUACGCAACAGAAAAUUCAUUACAAAUAUGGAAUUUUGUACUUCAAAAGAUGAC
rnacentral:lncRNA from 1 species